rnacentral:RNase_P_RNA from 1 species
UGGAAAGGCGAGGUAAGAGCUCACCGACUUUGUGGUAACACGAGGUGCCAUGUAAACCCCAUCCGGAGGAACACCGUGGUGAGACACAAGCGUUGCCCGCGCGUCUCAGGAGGUGGCUCGAAGCGUUCAGAGAUGUUCGCUCUAGAUAAAUGAUUGUCCACGACAGAACCCGGCUUAUCGACGCUCUCAGAAU